CUCGGAUCAGGUGAGGAUACCCGCUGAAUUUAAGCA
rnacentral:rRNA from 1 species